rnacentral:rRNA from 1 species
UACGUAGGGUGCAAGCGUUAAUCGGAAUUACUGGGCGUAAAGCGUGCGCAGGCGGUUAUGUAAGACAGAUGUGAAAUGCCCGGGCUUAACCUGGGAACUGCAUUUGUGACUGCAUGGCUAGAGUUUGGCAGAGGGGGGUAGAAUUCCACGUGUAGCAGUGAAAUGCGUAGAUAUGUGGAGGAACACCGAUGGCGAAGGCAGCCCCCUGGGUCAAGACUGACGCUCAUGCACGAA